UCUGGGUGGGUCUCAUCCCUCCCCCCCACCCCCCUUGUGUGUCCCUGUUCUAUCUAUGUGCCCCUUCCUCUAUGUUUGUCCCUUCUCUGGCUGUAUUGUCCCUAUUUUAUGUGUGUGUGUCCCUGUUCUGUCUGUGUGUCCCCCCUGCUGGUCACUUACCUCGACUGCCUCCUGGUGUGGAGCAUAGGCUCACAUCUGCUCUUCUCACAUAUCCUGGCUGCUGUUACUGGACCUGCCCAGCAGGUGGCGCCUGUAACACGUGGGAUGAACACAGUGAACCCUGGUUUUCCUGUCUAUUUGCUUUGCC